AAUGAACGCUGGCGGCGCGCCUAAUACAUGCAAGUCGAGCGAGAAGACGUAGCAAUACGUUUGUAAAGCGGCGAACGGGUGAGGAAUACAUGGGUAACCUACCCUCGAGUGGGGAGUAACUAGCCGAAAGGUUAGCUAAUACCGCGUACGCUCCUUGGACUUCGGUUCAGGGAGGAAAGCGAUACCGUGGGUAUCGCGCUCUUGGUUGGGCGUCAUGUCCUAUCAGCUUGUUGGUGAGGAACGGCUCACCAAGGCUUCGACGGGUAGCUGGUCUGAGAGGACGAUCAGCCACACUGGCACUGCGACACGGGCCAGACUCCUACGGGAGGCAGCAGUAAGGAAUAUUGCGCAAUGGGCGAAAGCCUGACGCAGCGACGCCGCGUGGGGGAGUGAAGGUCUUCGGA
rnacentral:rRNA from 1 species